rnacentral:tRNA from 1 species
GGGCCGGUAGCUCAGCCUGGUCAGAGCGUUCGGCUGAUAACCGAAAGGUCGAGAGUUCAAAUCUCUCCCGGCCCACCA